rnacentral:misc_RNA from 1 species
AGAGCAAAGGAUAGACAGCGCCCGCGGAGCUUGCUCCCUGGGGCUACCCUACUUCGGUAGGGUUUAGAGUCGUCGGGCCUCUCGAAGAAGCUCGGUCCUGAACUCCACCCUUGAAUAAAUUACCUUUGUUGCUUUGGCGGGCCGCCUCGUGCCAGCGGCUUCGGCUGUUGCGUGCCCGCCAGAGGACCACAACUCUUGUUUUUAGUGAUGUCUGAGUACUAUUUAAUAGUUAAAACUUUCAACAACGGAUCUCUUGGUUCU